AAAUGCACUAAAAUUCUUGUUUUCUUCAGGUGGCUGCAGCUGGUUAUGGUUUCGCUCCGCUAAGCCCCGCCAAAGGGUACCAGGCGAACUUGUGGUUCACUGAAUAGUGGUACCUGAUCAUCCCUCGAGCGAUGCAAAUAUUAAGAAGCAUUUACUAGUUGCCGUUAUUCAAUCAAGUGAAACGUUUAGUAUUGUAAUACAACAAGAAUUGACCGAAUUACCCAACUGCAACGCGCCCGCUCUAGAAGAUAAGAAGUGUUCGAAUUUUCAGAAGCAGUUGGUGCGUAUAAAUUUUCGCAUAGUGUUUUAGUUGCGUAAGAAAUUGGAAACUUUUGUUGGGGUAAUGUUUUUCUGAUUUUUGGUGUUGGAAAGAGCAGUACUCUCACUUGAAAUUACGAAAAACCUUGCAAAUGUAAGGAAUCUGCAUUGUUUUGUUUGAUUAAUUGAGUGCCUAAUUAACUGUUUUGGACAGUGCAAAUCACGAAGCGUUUCUCGUGUUCUUUCUGUUCGGUAUUUGCUUUCCACUAUACCCAAUUAGUGAUAGUAGUUGAUAGGGAUUAUAGAGAUUUCAUUAGUUUUAAGUUUACGGUUAAGAUGUGAUAAUUACUGUUUUAAUACGAAGGUAACAAGCAACGCUUGAUAGUUUUCGCUUUUACUGCACUUCCUCUCAAAUUAUUAUUCUAGUUUUGAGAGCCUUGGUUCUACUUUGGUUUUGUAUAUCCAAAGCCAAACUUUCGCUCCUGUUUAAUUCAAGUGUUAAAAACGUUUUAAUUAAUUAGGAUCUUCGAUGUUGCCUGGGUCGAUUUCGUGGUAAUUUACAUGUUGUGAGAGGGUUUGUGCUUAAAUUUGCACGUUUUCUUUACCGGCAAAAGCACAGGCCCUUUGGGUUUUAGUUUUCCUGUAGAUGUUAGAAUUUGAUUUUAAUUUCCAAUUUUAACCCUUUUCACCCAUUAUAAUGAUUGUGUAAUUCUAGAGUAAACUGUUUGGGGAUCUAAGGGAUAUUGUUGAUAUUUAAUUGAUAGUUUUACAUGUAGUGUAUUAUGUAUGUACCAAAAGUUUGGGUCAAUUUGAUUAAUCAUUUGCUUAAGUAGA
rnacentral:lncRNA from 1 species